UACGUAGGGUGCGAGCGUUAAUCGGAAUUACUGGGCGUAAAGCGUGCGCAGGCGGUUCGUUAAGUCAGCUGUGAAAGCCCCGGGCUCAACCUGGGAACUGCAUUGGAAACUGACGGGCUCGAGUGUGGCAGAGGGGGGUGGAAUUCCACGUGUAGCAGUGAAAUGCGUAGAGAUGUGGAGGAACACCGAUGGCGAAGGCAGCCCCCUGGGCUAACACUGACGCUCAGGCACGAAAGCGUGGGGAGCAAACAGG
rnacentral:rRNA from 1 species